rnacentral:rRNA from 1 species
AUUGAACGCUGGCGGCAUGCUUUACACAUGCAAGUCGAACGGCAGCGCGGGCUUCGUCCUGGCGUCGCGUGGCGAACGGGUGCGUAAUGCAACGGACCGUGCCCAUUAGUGGUGGAUAGCCCGGCGAAAUCCGGAUUAAUACCGCAUACGACCUGAGGGUGAAAGCGGGGGACCGAAAGGCCUCGCGCUCUUGGCGCGGCCGAUGUCGGAUUAGCUAGUUGGUGGGGUAAAGGUUUACCAAGGCGACGAUCCGUAGCUGGUCUGAGAGGACGACCAGCCACACUGGGACUGAGACACGGCCCAGACUCCUACGGGAGGCAGCAGUGGGGAAUUUUGGACAAUGGGGGCAAGCCUGAUCCAGCCAUGCCGCGUGCAGGAAGAAGGCCUUCGGGUUGUAAACCGCUUUUGUUCGGGAAGAAAGCAUCUGGGCUAAUACCCCGGGGGAAUGACGGUACCGGAAGAAUAAGCACCGGCUAACUACGUG